rnacentral:rRNA from 1 species
CCCUUAGAUGUCCUGGGCCGCACGCGCGCUACACUGAACGGAUCAGCGCGUUUUCCCUUCCCGAGAGGGACGGGUAACCUGCUGAACCCCGUUCGUGGUAGGGAUCGGGGCUUGCAAUUAUUCCCCGUGAACCAGGAAUGCCCAGUAAGUGCAAGUCAUAAGCUUGUGCUGAUUACGUCCCUGCCCUUUGUACACACCGCCCGUCGCUCCUACCGAUUGGGUGCUCCGGUGAAUUGUUUGGACUGCUGUCAGUCUUUUCGGCCGUCGGCGAGAAGCUCUGUGAACCUUAGCACCUAGAGGAAGGAGAAGUCGUAACA